UUCACUAGGUUUUGGAGAAGUUUGCUCUCAAAAAUACAUAACUGGAACAAUAGGGGCUGAUUGGCAGUUCUAUGAAGAGCCGUUUUCUUCUUGCCUCUAUAUUUCUUGUUAGCUACUGAGAUGGAACAGAUUGAUGAACGGGGCUGAAGACAUCUAGCAGUAAGCUGAUUUACACUUCUUCGAGGCUCCUCUAGUUUCUUAACAGCCAGGAGGAAAGGGGAGUUGCAGAAGAUCAAAUAUAUGCAAAAGCCCUUCAAAGCUGUACCACCAACUUACUAAGGAAUUAUGCUGAAACUAAGGGAAACUUAAGAGGUAAUUUAAACGAUUUAAACAUCACCCUUCUCCCUCCGUCCAGAAAAACCCGCAAGACA
rnacentral:lncRNA from 1 species